UUUUUUCACAUUUGGGGCACUUAUAUGGUUUCUCUCCUGUGUGAGUUCUCUGAUGUACCACCAGGUCGGAAUUGUGACUGAAACUUUUCCCACAAUCUGGGCACUCAUAUGGCUUCUCCCCAGUGUGAGUCCUCUGGUGGCUCACCAGAUGGGAAUUCUGACUGAACCUUUUCCCACAAUACAGACAUUCAUAUGGUUUUUCCCCUGUGUGAGUCCUCUGGUGUUUCACCAGGUGGGAAUUGUAAGU